CGAGCAGGAAAUGGAGCAGACAUGGCAGGCGCCCACCCAGGACACCAAGAAUCCAUGUGACUAUCAGUCAGAAGACACAGACGGUCACAGUGGACCAGACAAGACUCAUAGUCCGGAGGCUGGUGUGUGCUCAGCGAAGGGUGCCCAAGAGCAGGCGCAACCCACACCCUGGGUGACAACGCUUCACCUGUGCUACAGCGGCUCCGGUGGGGAAUCAAGCACCUCCCACGUGACGCCACGGCCGAGGACUCGGGAAGCCCCGCCUGUUCCCUCACACUUUGUGCCGGGAGCCUUUUCCCAGCGCUGAUCCGCUGACCCGCGUCCUAUCUCUGAGGAAAAUCCCAGCUAAACCUUUGAUCCCGAGGACACCGGGCGAUACCCUGUUUCAUCCUCGUCUGCGCUCCGAUCUCACCAUCGCACCGGGAUGACCCCGAGCAGCCUCCCAGACUUGUGCGCCCGCGCCC